rnacentral:rRNA from 1 species
UGGGGGAUAUUGCGCAAUGGGGGCAACCCUGACGCAGCAACGCCGCGUGAAGGAUGAAGGUUUUCGGAUUGUAAACUUCUUUUAUUAAGGACGAAACUUGACGGUACUUAAUGAAUAAGCUCCGGCUAACUACGUGCCAGCAGCCGCGGUAAUACGUAGGGAGCAAGCGUUGUCCGGAUUUACUGGGUGUAAAGGGUGCGUAGGCGGCUUUGCAAGUCAGAUGUGAAAUCUAUGGGCUCAACCCAUAAACUGCAUUUGAAACUGUAGAGCUUGAGUGAAGUAGAGGCAGGCGGAAUUCCCCGUGUAGCGGUGAAAUGCGUAGAGAUGGGGAGGAACACCAGUGGCGAAGGCGGCCUGCUGGGCUUUAACUGACGCUGAGGCACGAAAGCGUGGGUAGCAAACAGGAUUAGAUACCCUGGUAGUCCACGCUGUAAACGAUGAUUACUAGGUGUGGGGGGUCUGACCCCUUCCGUGCCGGAGUUAGCACAAUAAGUAAUCCACCUGGGGAGUACGGCCGCAAGGUUGAAACUCAAAGGAAUUGACGGGGGCCCGCACAAGCAGUGGAGUAUGUGGUUUAAUUCGAAGCAACGCGAAGAACCUUACCAGGUCUUGACAUCCAACUAACGAAGUAGAGAUACAUUAGGUGCCCUUCGGGGAAAGUUGAGACAGGUGGUGCAUGGUUGUCGUCAGCUCGUGUCGUGAGAUGUUGGGUUAAGUCCCGCAACGAGCGCAACCCUUGCUAUUAGUUGCUACGCAAGAGCACUCUAAUAGGACUGCCGUUGACAAAACGGAGGAAGGUGGGGACGACGUCAAAUCAUCAUGCCCCUUAUGACCUGGGCUACACACGUACUACAAUGGAUGUUAACAGAGGGAAGCAAGACAGCGAUGUGGAGCAAACCCCUAAAAACAUUCUCAGUUCAGAUUGCAGGCUGCAACCCGCCUGCAUGAAGAUGGAAUUGCUAGUAAUCGCGGAUCAGCAUGCCGCGGUGAAUACGUUCCC